rnacentral:rRNA from 1 species
CCUACGUGGAGCAGCAGUGGGGAAUAUUGCGCAAUGGGCGAAAGCCUGACGCAGCGACGCCGCGUGAGGGAUGAAGGUCUUCGGAUCGUAAACCUCUGUCAGCAGGGAAGAACGGUCACUGUGCUAAUCAUCAGUGAAUUGACGGUACCUGCAAAGGUAGCACCGGCUAACUCCGUGCCAGCAGCCGCGGUAAUACGGAGGGUGCGAGCGUUAAUCGGAAUUACUGGGCGUAAAGCGCUCGUAGGCGGUAUGUCAAGUCAAGGGUGAAAUCCCCGCGCUCAACGUGGGAACUGCCUUUGAAACUGGCAAACUGGAGUGUGUGAGAGGAUAGUGGAAUUCGAGGUGUAGGAGUGAAAUCCGUAGAUAUCUGGAGGAACAUCAGUGGCGAAGGCGACUAUCUGGCACAUAACUGACGCUGAGGAGCGAAAGCGUGGGUAGCAAACAGGAUUAGAUACCCUUGUAGUC